UUCAGCAGAAGCAGCCUCAGGGCAUUGAACACAGACUGAAUGACUCAGUGACGCUUGGAUCAGGUCAGAUCAAAUUCUCAAGCAAACAGAUGGCUGGGGAUAUUCAGUAACAACGGUGAGGAGAGAGAGGAACAAUUCACAUUUCAAGGGACCCUUACUCAAAACGGUCUGUUCUGAAGGAGCUUUCCCGCAGAAAUCACUGGAUUGAAAGGUCUCCAGCGGGUCCGUACAGAUUGGUUUUAGUGUUGAAUUCUCAAGCUUGCUCUGUUCAAGGGAUUGAACCCCUCGGCUACAAAGGGGGGUCAGUUACCUCAGCUAACAGCUUCUGGCAACAAAUGGCCACAAACCGAUCAAAGGUGAAAGUGACGGUGAACCAGACAGAGCAGUCAGUGGCUGCAUAAAGCAGGACGGCGUGGAUAUUACACACGGGGACGGAGACCCUCAGGAAAUAAAACUGUUCCCAUAAACAAUGGGAAUGUGUCUCAGGAUCAGGUCGAGGAUAAUGACCAGGAGAUCCGCCGCUGCCAUGGCCCCCAGCUUUGGGAGGAAACGGGAGAAUCCAUCAGAAACUCACGUAGACAAGGGGAGAAGAUGCAAACUCAUGCAGAUAGUCGCCCGAGGCUGGAAUUGAACUCAUGUCCCUGAUGCUGUGAUGGAACAGUGCGAACUACUGAGCCACUGUGCUAACCUGGGACCUCCUGCCAGCCUAAUGCAAAGGGAAUUCAGCCAAAUCUAACUCUCCCAGGAGUAGAAUACCUUCAGAAGCAGAAUAACAUUUUGGACAAUCUCUCAAUUUUUCGUUUUUGUCAUUAGUUACAUUAAUAUUUGGACAAGGUUCUUUCAAUGUGAAAUUUCAGAGAUUUUGUUUGUGUGUGUGUGUGUGUGUGUGUGUGUGUGUGUGUGUGUGUGUGUGUGUGUGUGUGUCAGUGUUUUUAGAACGGGAAAUAUCGAUUCUUUAUUUGCAAACAGUUUGCCAUUCAGCAUUCCAUCAUAGUUGGAGUAAUGUUGCUCUGGAUCAUAAACGUGCUAUUUGAACAGAUUAAAGAAACUAGCCUGACUUGGUCCUAAAACUGACCCUGACCCAGUCUGAGACUGAUAUCAUCGGCCAUAUCACCGACCUGGUUACAUUUAACAUUUGUUGUGAGCAGUGGAGGAGUGGGACGAGAAAUGGGAUUGGUGAGCCUGAUGUCGGUGGUGGGUGAGCUGUUGGAGGUGAUUCUGAGGGAUAGCAUUUACAUACAUUUGGGAAGGUAAGGGCUGAUCGGAGUAGACAACAUGGCUUUCUGCAUGGGAAAUCAUGUCUCAUUAAUUUGAUUGAAUUUUAUGAAGAGGUAACAAAGAAGAUUGAUGAGGGCAGUUUGGUAGACAUUGUCUAUAUGGACCUCAGCAAGGUGUUCAUGACAUUCCGAUUGGUAGGCAGAUUAGUAAGGUUCGGUCACAUGGGAUACAGAAGAAGCGAGUCACAGUUGGCUUGAAGGGAGAGGGGUAUUUUUCAGACUGGAAGCUUGUGAGCAGACAUUAUACACUUAAUGGUAAGGGCCUGGUGAGUGUUGUGAAACAAAUGGACUUAGGGCUGCAGGUGCAUUGUUCCUUGAAAGUGGAGUCAAAUGCAGACAGUGCGGUACAGAACACGUUUUACAAAUUUGCCUUAAUCAGUCAGAGCAUUGAGUAUAGGGGUCGUGGUGGCAUGUUGUAUCUGUACAGGAUGUUGGUGAGGCCACUUUAAGAAUACUGCGUACAACUUGGUUGUCAGCUGAAAAGAUUUACACGGAUGUCCCAGGACUGGAGGUUUGAACUUUAGGGAGAGGUUGAUUAGUUUGAGGUGUUUCCCCCUGGAGUGUCAGAGGCUGAAGGGUGACAUUAUAGAGGUUUAUAAAAUCAUCAGGGGCAUAGAUAUUCUGAACAGCCAUGUUCCGCUCCCCAGGUAGGGGAGUCCAGAACAGGAGAGCACAUGUUGAAGGGGAGAGGGCGAAUAAUUUAGAAGGGACCUGAAGAUAAAUGUUUCACACACAGAGUGGUGGGUGUACAGAAAGUGCUGUCAGAGGAAGUGGUGAAGGCGGUUACAAUUGCACAUUUAAAAGUAUCUGAAAGAGGAGGGAUAUUGGCCAAAUGCUGGCAAAUGGGACUGGAUCAGGCUUGAUAUCUGAUCGGAGUGAACAGAUUGGACUAACGGGUCUAUUUCUAUUCUGCAUGACUCUCUGAUUCUAUAAGAGGGAUGACAAAAAAUUCUGAAAUUACCUUUCAAAUCCGAAUCCUCUUCACUGGAAGUUUCUCGUGCCUCUCUGUUCACAUUGAUUGACAGUUGGGUUACUGAAAUAUUUGACAGAAAACUGAGUCAUGGAUAAUGGGACACAGACAGGAAAGUGGGGCUGAGACCACAACCUGAUCAGCCAUAAUCUUAGUGCCUGGUGGAGAAGGUUCAAAAUGUUUAAUGACUCACUCCUGUCCCUCAAUCCCAUGUUCCUGUGUUCCAUUCAGCCCAUUAAACCUGUUAGGCAGGAUCAUUUAGAGGCUACUUACUUCUAUAACCUGGUGCACAGAAACAGAGGAGAUCAUUCGGCCCUUCAAGUCUGUCCCACAUACUUUGAGGUGAUUUGAGAAAUGUAAUUGUAAAACCCAGGCUGGGUAUGAAAGAGGCCCCUCAUCUCUCUUUACAGAGCUUCCCCUCUCUGAAACUUGUGCUCCAUUUGUUGGUCAUGUUGUAGACUCUAAUUCACUGUGAAUACAGACCCAUACCUCACCCAGAGAUGGCUCACAAAAUCCUCUGGUCUCCCUGACGGCAACAUUCAAUACCAGAACAUUCAUGAAAACUACACCCACUAACUUUCCAAUAACACAAUGCGAGGACAUCAGACAAUGUUCAGAAUAAUUUGACGCCCCCAUCAGCUUCUGAACUGGACUGUGUCCAUGUGCAGCAAAACAUGGACUCCAUUGAGGCUUGUGCUUUUAAAGAGUCCGUAACAUUCAUAUAGAGGACUGUCUGACACUGCACAUUGCCGCAGUAAAAUAAGAGUUCAUUCCGCACCUCACACUGGUUUCACAGGAAUAUGAGGAAGUCGGUCAGCCCAUUGACACUAUUAGAGAAGAACAGGGACAGCCCAUUCAGUGCCUCCAACAUAUUACUCAGGAAGAGAAGGAUUCUAGUGUGAUGGGCCACACCAAAGCCCCUCGAUAAUAUUUGAAGGUGGUAGCCUAGACUCUACUAUUUUCUUAUUUUAAAGAAAAUAUAAAGUGUCUGUUCCAGAUGCAAUGUGACUGGUCAAGCAACACGGUGUGAAGCAAAACACCAUUUACUUAAACACGAUAAAUAAAAUAAAACCAAAGGAAGAGCAAUCUAGAAUAAUGUAAUUAUAUUGGACAAGUUAACAGAAUAAGAGAUCUAGGAACUAUCACUAAUGAACUGUUCCAAUACUGGAAAAUCACAUGGACACAGCCCUUGGCAAAAAAGGAAUAUUCAGACACUGAAUGACACAAAUAUUUCUCCAAUUCAGGAUUUAAAAACAGCACCAAGAGAAAAUUCAUACAGAGUAGCUGCCAGGAGACAUUCACUAAAGUUUUCAACUCGGUGGAGACCCCAAUAAUUUCUGAUGUUACUGAGAAACCAAAACCCAGAAAUCCUAAUCGGUGAGAGCUGACCACACCCAUUCCAUCUGCAUUAAAAUAAACCCAAGGCUUCGCUAACUGUUACGCAAGUGGUCCUAACUAGCCAGCUUGGUAACGGUCAUUCAAUCUCUCUCGUAAAAGAAACCAGAACAAAAUAACCUCUAAAAGCUACAGCAUCAUCACACUAGUCAGCACAUCGAGCUGUCAUACAGGAACCAGGGGUAACCCAAUCAGGCCCUUGGCCCUGUCCAAUCGGACGAGGAAGAAGCCAGUCAGUCCCUUGAGUCACUUACACAGGAACAGUAGGAGGCCAUUCCCACCUCAAUGCACUUACACAGGGGCAGAAUGAGCUAAUUGAUGCUGAUUCCUGAUGAAUGGCUUAUGCUCGAAACGUCGAUUCUCCUGCUGUGCUUUUCCACCAAACCACUGUCUACUCUGUUCUUCAGCAUCAACAGUCCUCACUGUCUCCUAACUGAUGCUCUAACAUGGUGACCAGGUGGAGCAGAGGCUGCACAGACAGACUGCUCCACGUUGUUCCUCGUAGCUCCGUCAGUCAUGAUACACACGUGGGACUUUAACACGGUUUUCUAGUGGUGAGGAGGGAAGCCAUAUGUCUUGUGUGAAGUCACAAGAAGGCAGCUUCCAUCUCCGAGAAGCCAGCCUGGUGUUCUCUAUGUAGGGUGGAAGCUAGUGGGAAUGGCUACCUGUUUCAGAUGGAAGGUAUUGUGGCUGCUGUUGGGGAUUGUGAGGAACAUAACGUUCAGUAUGGGUUCACACGCCGACUGCACAAUAACGUGGGGAGAGUUAAUUUAGGCAUAUAAACUAUUAGGAAAGUCAGGUUAGACUGAUGAAUGGACUCUCUAAGAUCAAAUAAUGCUGAUCUUGUUGAUGUUGAUCUUGUCUAGUGCACGUCCUGUUCAGUGUAACCUGUAUGCCUUACUCUGUCCAAGCCUAUUUCCAUCCUAUGAUCUGUCUGGCCUUGCUUACUAUGAUCUGCCUCCACUGCUAAUAAAUAAAGUGUUUCCCUGUACUGAGUUACCCGUGGCAAUAAAUCAAACCAAUAACUCCUGGGUAAAGUAUGGAAUGUCUGUUUUGGAAAUAAGAGACCCCUGCCACUCCGCAUGUUUCAGCAUCACCAUUUCUUCGUCUCUCACACUCUACAGGUUAAACACUCAGCUUCCUCACUCUAUCCUCAUGUUACCAUCAUCCGUAUCUGUGGUACGGGAAUCCUUCCUUACAAAGGGCAUCAAAUCCGUACAGAGUGCCCCAAAUACUCUCUCAGCAAGGUUCUACAACAGCUGAAAGAUGGCUUUACUUAUGUACUCGAAUCAUCUUACAAUGAAGGACAGCAUGCCAUCGACUGCACCCAUUACUUACACAGGGUUUGAUUCAGAGCAGUCAGCAUAGACAGCAUAGAUCAUGCUUCCCAAAUUUCUUAGAGGCCUUUGAUGAGGUUUGAUAAGUUUCCACAUGGCAGGCUGCUCAGGAAGGUUCCAAAACGUAGAAUGCGUGGGAACUGUCCAAUUGGAUACACAGUUGGCUUGAUGGUAGGAAGGGGAGGGUUUAGUGGAAAGAUGCUUGUCAGACUGGAGGCUGGGUCCAUUGCUGUUUGUUAUCUAUGAUCUGGUUGAGAAUGUACAAGGCAUGAUUAGUAAGUUUGCAGAUGUCACUAAAGUAAGUGGGAGCAUGAUCAGUGAGGAAGUUUAUCAGAAUUUGCAGCAGGACCUUAAUCAGUUGGGGAAAUGGGCCGACAAAUGGAAUUUAAUAUAGAAGCGUGAGGUCUUGCAUUUUGGAAAUUCAAAUCAAGGUAGGAGUUUCAUGGUGAAUGGGAGGGCCUUAAGGGGUGCAGGGGGCAGAGAGAUCUUGGUGCUCAGGUGCACGGUUCCCUGAGAGUGGAGUCACAGGUAGACAGGGCAGUGAAUAAGGCAUUUGGCACAAUGGCCUUCAUCAGGCAGGAUAUUGAGUAUAGAAGAUGGGAAUUUAUGCUGCAGUUAUACAGGACUUCGUUAAGGCCGCACUUGGAGUAUUGUGUUCAGGUUUUGUCGCUUUGUUUAAGGUAGGAUGUUAUUAAAGUAGAAAGAAUACAGAAGAAAUUUACAAGGAUGUUGCCAGGACCCAAUGAUCUGAGUUAUAGGGAGAGGUUGGACAAGAUAGGACAUUUUCUUUAGCGUGUAGGAGACUGGGGGAGUUGUUAUAGAGCUGUAUAAAAUCACGAGGGGUAUGGAUAGGGUUAAUGCUCUCAGUCUUUUUCCAAGGUGUAGAGAAUCGAGGACGAGAGAGGAUCAGUUUAACGUUAGAAGGAAAGGAAUAAAAGGGAACCUAAGGGGCCACUUCUUUCCACAGAGGCUGGUACGUGGAUGAGCUACUCGCAGAUGUAGUUGAGGGGGGUAAAUUAACAACAUUUCAAAAGCAUUUGGAUAAAUAUCUGUAUAGGAAAGGACUGGAAGGAUAUGGGCCAACUGCAGGGAAAUGGGGUGAGCGGGGAUGGACAUUUACAAGGUGGAGUCGAACCCCUCUGUUAAUUAAAACCAAACACCCAGAAAAGCUCACCUCACCUCGUAAUCUGUUAAAAUAUGAGCGACACAGACCUCCUUUUAAACAAAACUUAACAAGUUAGUUUCUUAACCUUAAUAGUGAACACUAAACAACAACAAUUCACAAAUGCAAGUCCCUCUUCUUAGCUACUUACUAUCUGACUCGAACUCUGUAAAAAUAUGCUGUUCCAACAACCCACAUAUUAAACAUUACAAUCCCAUGACCAUACAGUCUCUAUCUUCCCCGUUGUCUUCACUCUUUCAGCUGCAUCUCCCCGGGUCAUCUUUUUAUUGCAAGUAGGUUUGACAUGAACAUGUGUCUUUGAGAGAGUGUGUUUGAGAUGGUCAGUUAGCACUCCUGCUCGACAGCAGUUGCUCUCCUGUUGGAUGGCAGUAGCUCUCCCUCCAGUGUUCAAAAUGCUGGGUUUAUAUACUCCCCAUGAUAUAAUAAUUAUCAUAAUUUGAUUGCUUUCCAGGUGUCCAAACAAUAAUAUUCAAAUUCUGUUGGCAUCUGUUAUCCUGAGCGUUAUUUAAACUCUUUAGUUACAUUUGAAUGGCUAUCAAAACAGCAAGCAAAACUCAGGAAUCCAUUUCUCAGCUAAUGGUGACAUGUGGAACAGUGUGACCUUCAGCUGGCAUCUGUGGCUUUAAUUUCUAUUCAGCAAAACCCGAUCUGUUUUAAAGUGUCCAUAUAUGUUUUUGUCUUCAUAACAUCUCCCCGCUUCAGAAAAUAAAAUGAACUAGCAGAAUGAAAAGAUGGCUACAUUUGUUU